AGAGUUUGAUCCUGGCUCAGAUUGAACGCUGGCGGUAUGCUUAACACAUGCAAGUCGAACGGAAACGAAACUAGCUUGCUAGUAGGCGUCGAGUGGCGGACGGGUGAGUAACGCGUAGGAAUCUGCCUGAUAGUGGGGGAUAGCCCGAAGAAAUUCGGAUUAAUACCGCAUAAUCUAUUCGUAGUAAAGUGGGGGACUUUCGAGCCUCACGCUAUCAGAUGAGCCUGCGUAAGAUUAGCUUGUUGGUAGGGUAAAAGCCUACCAAGGCAACGAUCUUUAGCUGGUCUGAGAGGAUGAUCAGCCACAUCGGGACUGAGACACGGCCCGAACUCCUACGGGAGGCAGCAGUGGGGAAUAUUGGACAAUGGGGGCAACCCUGAUCCAGCAAUACCGCGUGUGUGAAGAAGGCCUGAGGGUUGUAAAGCACUUUCAAUUGUGAAGAAAAGUUAACGGUUAAUAACCGUUGACCUUGACGUUAACUUUAGAAGAAGCACCGGCUAACUCCGUGCCAGCAGCCGCGGUAAUACGGAGGGUGCAAGCGUUAAUCGGAAUUACUGGGCGUAAAGCGUGCGUAGGCGGUUUAUUAAGUCAGAUGUGAAAGCCCCGGGCUUAACCUGGGAACUGCAUUUGAAACUGGUCAACUAGAGUAUGGUAGAGGAAAGUGGAAUUUCUGGUGUAGCGGUGAAAUGCGUAGAUAUCAGAAGGAACAUCAAUGGCGAAGGCAGCUUUCUGGACCAAUACUGACGCUGAGGUACGAAAGCGUGGGUAGCAAACAGGAUUAGAUACCCUGGUAGUCCACGCCGUAAACGAUGAUAACUAGCCGUUGGGGGGAUUUACCCCUUAGUGGCGAAGCUAACGCGUUAAGUUAUCCGCCUGGGGAGUACGGCCGCAAGGCUAAAACUCAAAGGAAUUGACGGGGACCCGCACAAGCGGUGGAGCAUGUGGUUUAAUUCGAUGCAACGCGAAGAACCUUACCUGGUCUUGACAUCCUGCGAACUUUCUAGAAAUAGAUUGGUGCCUUCGGGAACGCAGUGACAGGUGCUGCAUGGCUGUCGUCAGCUCGUGUCGUGAGAUGUUGGGUUAAGUCCCGUAACGAGCGCAACCCCUAUCCUUAUUUGCCAGCACAUUAUGGUGGGAACUAUAAGGAGACUGCCGGUGAUAAACCGGAGGAAGGCGGGGACGACGUCAAGUCAUCAUGGCCCUUACGACCAGGGCUACACACGUGCUACAAUGGGAAGGACAAAGAGCCGCGAAGCCGCGAGGUGUAGCUAAUCUCAAAAAUCUUUUCGUAGUCCGGAUUGGAGUCUGCAACUCGACUCCAUGAAGUCGGAAUCGCUAGUAAUCGUAGAUCAGAAUGCUACGGUGAAUACGUUCCCGGGUCUUGUACACACCGCCCGUCAUACCAUGGGAGUGGGUUGCACCAGAAGUGGCUAGUCUAACUUUGUGAGGACGGUCACCACGGUGUGAUUCAUGACUGGGGUAAAGUCGUAACAAGGUAACC
rnacentral:rRNA from 1 species